GCACUUCCUGCAGAUGAAGAGAGGGGUAAGUUGGCGGAUCCAUUUUAUCGUCUUGAACAUCAAGAAGAGGAUUUGCAGAAGAAGAAAGAAGCUGAGCCAGUGCUAGUUCGGCUUCAACGAGUAUCUGAUGCUAGGCAUUCAGAUGACUAUGCUCUUAACAAGGCUCUUCGAGCCCAACUUAGAAGUCAAAAGAAAAGAGUUGCUGAAGAAGAGGUCGCCUCAAGGAAAAUGGGACUUGGCAUAAGACUGCUUCCGACUGCUAAAGAAGAUUCUGUUGCAGCAGCAAAUGUGAAGUUCUCUUCCAAGUUUGACAAAAAUAGAAGGGAUAAGCGAGCAUUAAUUAAUGCAACUUCAAUCUUUUCAGAAUCUUCUGUACCCUCCUCGUCCAAUAAGAAGCGAUUGGAGCUAGAAGCCAAGAGAAGGAAAAUCAGUGCAGCUGCAGCAUCAAACUUGCUGAGAGGGGGAUUUAAGCCAUCUUCAUGGUCGCGGGGUGCGGUUUCUUCAAUCAGGCAUAAGUGAAUAAAUUCAAGACAUUUUUAGCUAUGGAUAGUAUGCGUAACUGAUGUUUCUCUGCAUUUGGAUUUAAUAUCUAUGUGUGGAAUUUUUUUCUCCUUUGCCUGCUCUAGGUGGCAUUGGAUCAUGUACAUAGCAGU
rnacentral:misc_RNA from 1 species